ACAGCCAAGCCUCUCAGAGCCAUCAGAGGAACCCCAGGUCUCUUUGUCCCACUGCACAUCCCCACGACUUUCCAGGGGUGAGAAGUUUUGCUCAGGACCAAGAGGCUUGGGGAAAUCAGGAGGAAGGAUGCUCCUGCCCUCCAGAGACAGCAGCCUGAGCUAUUCUGUGCUAGAGUAACUCCAGAGGACGAACACAGAUGGAAACCAAGAGGAAGAGAGAGGAGCCUGACAGAGUUUAGCUAACUACAGAGAUGAUAGUGUGACCUCCAGACCAUCUGAUCUCAGCAACAUGAGACAAGGAUGCUACAACAGCUCACUGUGAUGGAAGAAACUCCUGAAAGCACCCCUGCUAUGACUUUGGAGGUUCAGAGGACCCUUUGAUCAUGGUUGUUGGACCCUAGGAACAGCUCCCAGCCAUCCCUUGAAAGACGAAUGUGGCAAUCACCCAUUGCCAGCCAUUUCAUAGAUCUAAUUAGACCCAUAUUAUUUUAUGGCGUCAGAAACCCUGCAGAUAGUGUUGGAAUGGAUACUGUGCCUGUGUACAAACUUGCCUGCAAGGGGUGGCUCUGUCUAGCUAGAAGAGAACAAGCACGGCAUUUCUGGCCCCAGGUGCCCUGCUGCAGGCUGGAUUUUGCUUGUGGCCAAGCAAAUUUCUGUGCCUGCCUGAGGCAGAGUUGGGGGAUGCUGCCAAAAGUCAGGUGGUCUCAGAACUGAGCAGCAUCUCCACUGCCAGCCCAGCUAGAGGAGCUCAACAAACACUCACGGGAGCUUAGAAAGCAGCCUGCUCUCUAAGCAAGAUGAGAGAUGAGAUGCUGCGAGGGAGCAAGGAGCCUCCUGCUAUGUGACCACGCAUCUCAGGGAGACCUUGUGCAUCCGAGCCCCACUCUGACACCAGCCAGAAGUUAAAGCCAUGCCAGCAGCAAAACAUCUGCAGCACCGACCCUUCGUGGCUCUGGGUCCUGCCGCACUCUUUUCCAUCUUUUAACUCCAUAUUUUUAAUCACCGUGCUUCGUGUGCUGGAUCAAAGGACUUAAAAGCAAGCGCUCCAGCCCUUGGCAUGAAUGCUGAACGAGACAGCCCGCAUCGCCUAUGCAGGUAGCCCAGUGGGGACGCGCUUAUUAAUUUAAAAAUUGCAUUGUAAGGUUUGAAUGCUGUCAUUUGUUUCAGCCUUUCAUUCUCAGGGCUUCCAUUUCGUGUUCAAUCACAAGGACAGAGCAGUGUGGCCGAGCACUCCCACGCCAGCCCAGAUCUGCAGGCUGCGGUUGUUCGGCUGCUUCGCCCACCGCUGCCUGCUGCAGAUCCCCAGUGCUCAGUAAUAGCCACUGCACAAUUAAUUCCAUUGCAAUAAUAGGGCAGCACCAAUUACAGAGCAGACUCCUGUAGCAAUAAAAAAUAAUAUACUAAGUCUUAC